rnacentral:rRNA from 1 species
UAACACGUAGGAGACGAGCGUUAUCCGGAUUUACUGGGUGUAAAGCGCGUGCAGGCGGUCGGGUAAGUUGGAUGUGAAAGCUCCUGGCUUAACUGGGAGAGGUCGUUCAAAACUGCCGGGCUAGAGUGCAACAGAGGGGAGUGGAAUUCCGAGUGUAGCGGUAAAAUGCAUAGAUAUUCGGAAGAACACCAGUGGCGAAGGCGGCUCUCUGGGUUGCAACUGACGCUCAGACGCGAAAGCUAGGGUAGCGAACGGGAUUAGAGACCCCGGUAGUCCUAGCCGUAAACGAUGUGGACUUGGCGUGGGUGGGUUGAAAUCCAUCUGUGCCGAAGCAAACGCGAUAAGUCCACCACCUGGGGACUACGGCCGCAAGGUUAAAACUUAAAUGAAUUGACGG